GAUCCCGCCGGACCCCACUGCUAUCGGGAUGGGACUAAGACAUGCUAGUCGUGCGCCUUCUAGCCAUGCUGGAGGCGCGGCACACAGCUCAGUAGCACGUGGCUAACCUGCCCUUGGGACAGAAACAACCCCGGGAAACUGGGGCCAAUUUCCGAUAGGUGAAGAUGCCUGGAAUGGUUUUUCACCAGAAAAGACGUGUAGGUCAUGCUUCUAGACGUUGCCCAAGGAUGGGGCCGCGGCCGAUCAGGCUGUUGGCGAGGUAACGGCUCACCAAACCUUUGACCGGUUCGGGCCGCGGGAGCGGUAGCCCGGAGAUGGGCACUGAGACAAGGGCCCAGGUCCUACGGGGCGCAGCAGUCGCGAAAACUUCGCAAUAAGCGAAAGCUUGACGGGGCCAUCCCGAGUGCCAUCUGCUGAGGAUGGCUUUUACCCAGUAUAGACAGCUGGGGGAAUAAGGAGAGGGCAAGUCUGGUGUCAGCCGCCGCGGUAAUACCAGCUCUCCGAGUGGUGGGGACGUUUAUUGAGCCUAAAGCAUCCGUAGCCGGCUGAGUUAGUCCCCUGUCAAAUCCGGCGACUAAUCGUUGGCCCGCGGGGGAUACUGCUCGGCUAGGGGGCGGGAGGGGCCGUCGGUAUUCUUGGGGUAGGGGUGAAAUCCUAUAAUCCCAGGAGGACCACCAGUGGCGAAGGCUGUCGGCUAGAACGCGCCCGACGGUGAGGGAUGAAAGCUGGGGGAGCGAACCGGAUUAGAUACCCGGGUAGUCCCAGCUGUAAACGAUGCAGGCUAGGUGUUAGGGCGGCUACGUGCCGCCCUAGUGCCGCAGGGAAGCUGUUAAGCCUGCCGCUUGGGAAGUACGGUCGCAAGGCUGAAACUUAAAGGAAUUGGCGGGGGAGCACCACAAGGGGUGAAGCUUGCGGUUUAAUUGGAUUCAACGCCGGG
rnacentral:rRNA from 1 species